rnacentral:RNase_P_RNA from 1 species
GAGGAAGGAGAGGCAACCGCUGUCUCAUCAAUGAGAGAGAGGAAAGUCUGGACUUCGUAGGAGAGGAUACCAGCGAAAGGCUGGGGGCCUUAAGGCUACGGAAAGUGUAACAGAAAACAUACCGCUAUUUUUUUAUUAAAGUAGACAGGCUGAAAAUGGCAAUUUUAGGAAUUGUCUAGUUUAUGGAAAUAUAAACUACUGUAAACCCUAUCCGAAGCAAGAUAAAGAGACUUUUUAUAUAUAUUGACCUAUUCUCCGUGGGGAUGAGUCUCUUGAGCAUCGCUUGAGAAUCUGGGUGACUGGGUUCCUAGAUGAAUGGUUGCCCCUUUUUAUUUUAAGAGGACAGAAUCCGGCUUAUCCUCCUUCCUCUUUU